rnacentral:rRNA from 1 species
CGGCGGACGGGUGAGUAACACGUGGAUAACCUACCUAUAAGACUGGGAUAACUUCGGGAAACCGGAGCUAAUACCGGAUAAUAUAUUUAACCGCAUGGUUCAAUAGUGAAAGACGGUUUUGCUGUCACUUAUAGAUGGAUCCGCGCCGCAUUAGCUAGUUGGUAAGGUAACGGCUUACCAAGGCAACGAUGCGUAGCCGACCUGAGAGGGUGAUCGGCCACACUGGAACUGAGACACGGUCCAGACUCCUACGGGAGGCAGCAGCA